rnacentral:snoRNA from 1 species
UGGACCAUCUGUAAGAAUGUAUUAGAAACUAAUGAUUAUGAUUUAUCAAAUUAUGUAAAACUGAGCCUUC